rnacentral:rRNA from 1 species
CUACGGGACGCUGCAGUGAGGAAUUUUGCGCAAUGGGGGGAACCCUGACGCAGCAACGCCGUGUGAGUGAAGAAGGCCUUUGGGUCGUAAAGCUCUGUCAACAGGGAAGAAGUUACUGUGCUUUAAUAGAGUGCAGUAUUGACGGUACCAGUGGAGGAAGCGUCGGCUAACUCCGUGCCAGCAGCCGCGGUAACACGGGGGAUGCAAGCGUUAUUCGGAAUUAUUGGGCGUAAAGGGCGCGUAGGCGGUCUUGUCGGUCAGGUGUAAAAGCCCGGGGCUCAACCCCGGACGUGCACUUGAAACAGCAAGACUUGAGUACGGGAGAGGAAAGCGGAAUUCCUGGUGUAGAGGUGAAAUUCGUAGAUAUCAGGAGGAACACCGAUGGCGAAGGCAGCUUUCUGGACCGAAACUGACGCUGAGGCGCGAAGGCGUGGGUAGCGAACGGGAUUAGAUACCCCCGUAGUC